rnacentral:rRNA from 1 species
CCUACGGGUGGCUGCAGUGAGGAAUAUUGGUCAAUGGCCGUAAGGCUGAACCAGCCAAGUCGCGUGAAGGAGGAAGGAUCUAUGGAUCGUAAACUUCUUUUAUAGGGGAAUAAAGAUAUCCACGUGUGGAUAUUUGAAUGUACCUUAUGAAUAAGCAUCGGCUAACUCCGUGCCAGCAGCCGCGGUAAUACGGAGGAUGCGAGCGUUAUCCGGAUUUAUUGGGUUUAAAGGGUGCGUAGGUGGUUUUUUAAGUCAGCGGUGAAAGGUUGGGGCUCAACCAUAAAAUUGCCGUUGAAACUGGAAGACUGGAGUGUGUGUGAGGUAGGCGGAAUGCGUGGUGUAGCGGUGAAAUGCAUAGAUAUCGCGCAGAACUCCGAUUGCGAAGGCAGCUUACUAAGCCAUAACUGACGCUGAAGCACGAAAGCGUGGGGAUCAAACAGGAUUAGAUACCCGAGUAGUC